CUCCCCCUCCCUCUCCAUCCCCUGCACUGGCUUGAGGCUGAGGCUCCCUGGAGGUGGACCUUUGGAGCCAGAAAUGAGAAGAAUCCUGCGCUGCUUACCAAGGAGAGUCUUCUGAAUUGCUGUGAUUUAGGCAUGUGGAACCAAAGAAGGAGAAAGAAGUUCUGACACCCAGAUAUUUCUUGGUUUGGCUUUUGAACAUCCUAGUGGAAACGACUCUGUUAAGCUCCACACAGAAUUCACAGAAACACCCUGUUCCCCUGGGUGCUCUGGAGUGAAGCUGUUUCUAAAACCUCUGCUUCCAGGCGUGCCCACCUUGGUCCACUCAUGUACCCUGAUGAGUUCUUUGAAUGCCAGUCUCUUCGUAUUACUUCUUGGAAUGAACCUAACACUAUGGGUCCCCAUCGGCCUCAAGAACAGAAUGCUGCUGGCCCACUGGUCCCAGAGGAAGAUGAAAGUCGUGUGAAACAGAGUCACCUGGAGCCUGCGAUACAGUCUUUCUGGGCGACCCAUAUAUUCAUAAAUGAAAGGCUCUUGGAAGGAGCAAGAAGGAAACCUCCAGGAACCAUCUUAGCCACUCCAGUCACCAUUGUUUUCCUCUGUGCUGUGUGCUUAAAGCACUUAGGCUGCUCAGGAUGAUGGAGCAUUUGGUGAGCCAGUCUGUCCUGAGCAGGGUGCUGCAUGGCAUGUUCCUGAGGACACAGAUCGUGGCUUCUACUUAGACUUCU
rnacentral:lncRNA from 1 species